UACGGAGGAUGCAAGCGUUAUCCGGAAUGAUUGGGCGUAAAGGGUCCGCAGGUGGCAGCGUAAGUCUGCUGUCAAAGAAUGAGGCUUAACCUCAUCAAGGCAGUGGAAACUACACAGCUAGAGUACGGUCGGGGUAGAAGGAAUUCCUGGUGUAGCGGUGAAAUGCGUAGAGAUCAGGAAGAACACCGGUGGCGAAGGCGCUCUGCUAGGCCGCAACUGACACUGAGGGACGAAAGCUAGGGGAGCGAAUGGG
rnacentral:rRNA from 1 species